CUCCUGCUAGCAGUGACCUUGGGAAAGUUCUUAAACUUGCUGAAUCUUUGUGGUUCCUUCUAUGAAGCUGGGAUUCCUAACAUUUUUCAAAGGUUAAACGAGAAAUGUCUAAAAAAUGCUUAGCCCAGUGCCUGGCAUGGCUUCAGUGCCUAAUAAAUAGCAGCUAUCGGCAGCUGACUGACACAUCAUCUUGGCCUAAUGUAUUUUUCGAGACUUGAUUCAAUGACCUCAGACUUUCUUCGGCUGUUCCAGAGUUAAUAAAUUGAAGAGCACUUGCAGCCAAACCUCACUUAUGGACUAUUUUGUGUUGUUCUCUGUCGACUAAGAAAUUGUAAGUAACGGCAGGGGAGGACCCUGCUGUGUUCCAGUUCCAGUUUAAGGCCAACUUCAUGCCGAGGACUGAGUAACCAGCCACCUGUUGAUUGAUUGUUCGAGUGGCAAGAGCUUCUGAAAGAGCAUGAACAAACAGGUACAGGUAAACCCCAGGAGCAGAAAGAUCUUAUUUUAAUUGCCUGUAUCAUCAGUGUCUCCACUGCUAUCUACUCAAGACUAUUUGUUCAAUGAAGGUUCAUCUACUCAUUCACUCCAGUGUCUUGGCCUCCCUGGUGACACAGGGGUUAAAGACAGCGUUAUCAAGCUACUGCCCACCACUACAGCAUGAGUUUGAUCCCCAGCCAACCAGGGAGCAACCCACAUGGCACAACAGACCUCUCCUGUCUCGCCUGCUGCCCCCCUCAGCAGUGUAUUUCAGUGGAUCUGCCUGUUUUGCUCCCCAUUCUCUCUGGUGAAUCGUCUCACCCCCCAACCUCUGGCCGACACCCCAAUUCUUGUAUGCAUAAAUAAAUUAAUGUUAAAAAAAUAAAGCUAA